rnacentral:rRNA from 1 species
UACGUAGGUGGCAAGCGUUGUCCGGAUUUACUGGGCGUAAAGCGUGCGUAGGUGGUUGUUUAAGUCUGUCGUGAAAGCCCUGGGCUCAACCUGGGAAUUGCGAUGGAAACUGGGCGACUAGAGUGUGGCAGAUGAUAGUGGAAUUCCUGGUGUAGUAGUGAAAUGCGUAGAGAUCAGGAGGAACAUCCGUGGCGAAGGCGACUGUCUGGGCCAACACUGGCACUGAGGCACGAAAGCGUGGGGAGCAAACAGGAUUAGAUACCCUGGUAGUCCACGCCCUAAACGAUGCGAACUGGAUGUUGGGUGCAAUUUGGCACGCAGUAUCGAAGCUAACGCGUUAAGUUCGCCGCCUGGGGAGUACGGUCGCAAGACUGAA